rnacentral:rRNA from 1 species
AAAUUGAAGAGUUUGAUCAUGGCUCAGAUUGAACGCUGGCGGCAGGCCUAACACAUGCAAGUCGAACGGUAACGGGAAGCAGCUUGCUGCUUCGCUGACGAGUGGCGGACGGGUGAGUAAUGUCUGGGAAACUGCCUGAUGGAGGGGGAUAACUACUGGAAACGGUGGCUAAUACCGCAUAACGUCGCAAGACCAAAGAGGGGGACCUUCGGGCCUCUUGCCAUCAGAUGUGCCCAGAU